rnacentral:rRNA from 1 species
GACGGGUGAGUAAUGCUUAGGAAUCUGCCUAUUAGUGGGGGACAACAUUCCGAAAGGAAUGCUAAUACCGCAUACGCCCUACGGGGGAAAGCAGGGGAUCUUCGGACCUUGCGCUAAUAGAUGAGCCUAAGUCGGAUUAGCUAGUUGGUGGGGUAAAGGCCUACCAAGGCGACGAUCUGUAGCGGGUCUGAGAGGAUGAUCCGCCACACUGGGACUGAGACACGGCCCAGACUCCUACGGGAGGCAGCAGUGGGGAAUAUUGGACAAUGGGCGGAAGCCUGAUCCAGCCAUGCCGCGUGUGUGAAGAAGGCCUUUUGGUUGUAAAGCACUUUAAGCGAGGAGGAGGCUACUUAGAUUAAUACUCUAGGAUAGUGGACGUUACUCGCAGAAUAAGCACCGGCUAACUCUGUGCCAGCAGCCGCGGUAAUACAGAGGGUGCGAGCGUUAAUCGGAUUUACUGGGCGUAAAGCGUGCGUAGGCGGCUUUUUAAGUCGGAUGUGAAAUCCCCGAGCUUAACUUGGGAAUUGCAUUCGAUACUGGGAAGCUAGAGUAUGGGAGAGGAUGGUAGAAUUCCAGGUGUACCGGUGAGAUGCGUAGAGAUCUGGAGGAAUACCGAUGGCGAAGGCAUCCAUCUGGGGCUAGUAC